rnacentral:rRNA from 1 species
AGCAGCCGCGGUAAUUCCAGCUCCAAUAGCGUAUAUUAAAGUUGUUGCAGUUAAAAAGCUCGUAGUUGAAUUUCGGGGUUCUACCGUCGGUCGGGCUACCAAGUCUGUACUGGUGUGUAGAAUUUCUACCUUCUGGGGAACCAUCAUGUUAUUAAUUUAGCGUGGUGGGAAACCAGGACCUUUACCUUGAAAAAAUUAGAGUGUUCAAAGCAGGCUUACGUCUGAAUACAUUAGCAUGGAAUAAUAGAAUAGGACGGUGGUCCUGUUUUGUUGGUUUCUGAAUCACCGUAAUGAUUAAUAGGGAUAGUUGGGGGCAUUAGUAUUCAAUUGUCAGAGGUGAAAUUCUUGGAUUUAUUGAAGACUAACUUCUGCGAAAGCAUUUGCCAAGGACGUUUUCAUUAAUCAAGAACGAAAGUUAGGGGAUCGAAGACGAUCAGAUACCGUCGUAGUCUUAACCAUAAACUAUGCCGACUAGGGAUCGGACGAUGUUUAAUUUAUUGACUCGUUCGGCGCCUUACGG